rnacentral:rRNA from 1 species
GACAGAGGAUGCAAGCGUUAUCCGGAAUGAUUGGGCGUAAAGCGUCUGUAGGUGGCUUUUCAAGUCCGCCAUCAAAUCCCAGGGCUCAACCCUGGAUAGGCGGUGGAAACUACCAAGCUGGAGUACGGUAGGGGCAGAGGGAAUUUCCGGUGGAGCGGUGAAAUGCAUUGAGAUCGGAAAGAACACCAAUGGCGAAAGGACUCUGCUGGGCCGACACUGACAGUGAGAGACGAAAGCUAGGGGAGCAAAUGGG